CUGUCUAUGCGUUUUACGCCGGACCUGGUUCCGUCUUUAAUAUUCUAUUGGAAUAUCCUGUAUGUACGUUUUACGCCGGACCUAGUUCCGUCUUUAUUAUUCUGUUGGAAUAUCCUGUCUGUGCGUUUUACGCCGAACCUAGUUCCGUUAUUUAUUAUUCUGUUAGAGUAACCUGCUUGUGCGGUCUAUCGCAGGCUUGGUGAUUUUUUUUGUUAUUCUAUUCUUUGUUAUAUUCAGUUGGUUAAAGUUUUGACUUCUAUACUCUAUGAAAUUAGUGAAAUAUCCUUGAUAUUUGCACUUCAUCCAAUAUCUUUUCAUGGAAAUAUUCUUCUGAGCAUUCUUGAAUUUUUC
rnacentral:lncRNA from 1 species